UUAAGGGCGCACGGUGGAUGCCUUGGCACCAGGAACCGAUGAAGGACGUGGGAGGCCACGAUAGGCCCCGGGGAGCUGUCAACCGAGCUUUGAUCCGGGGGUGUCCGAAUGGGGAAACCCGGCAGUCGUCAUGGGCUGUCACCCGCUGCUGAACACAUAGGCAGUGUGGAGGGAACGCGGGGAAGUGAAACAUCUCAGUACCCGCAGGAAGAGAAAACAACCGUGAUUCCGGGAGUAGUGGCGAGCGAAACUGGAUGAGGCCAAACCAGUCACGUGUGAUACCCGGCAGGGGUUGCGUGGUUGGGGUUGUGGGAUCUCUCUUUUGCAGUCUGCCGGCUGUGAGGCGAGUCAGAAACCGUUGAUGUAGGCGAAGGACAUGCGAAAGGUCCGGCGUAGAGGGUAAGACCCCCGUAGCUGAAACAUUAGCGGCUCGUUUGAGAGACACCCAAGUAGCACGGGGCCCGAGAAAUCCCGUGUGAAUCUGGCGGGACCACCCGUUAAGCCUAAAUAUUCCCUGGUGACCGAUAGCGGAUAGUACCGUGAGGGAAUGGUGAAAAGUACCGCGGGAGCGGAGUGAAAUAGUACCUGAAACCGUGUGCCUACAAGCCGUGGGAGCGUCGCGCAGAGAACUUGUUCUUUGCGUCGUGACUGCGUGCCUUUUGAAGAAUGAGCCUGCGAGUUUGCGGUAUGUUGCGAGGUUAACCCGUGUGGGGAAGCCGUAGCGAAAGCGAGUCCGAAUAGGGCGUGGAGUAGCAUGCUCAAGACCCGAAGCGGAGUGAUCUAGCCAUGGGCAGGUUGAAGCGGAGGUAAGACUUCGUGGAGGACCGAACCCACCAGGGUUGAAAACCUGGGGGAUGACCUGUGGUUAGGGGUGAAAGGCCAAUCAAACUCCGUGAUAGCUGGUUCUCCCCGAAAUGCAUUUAGGUGCAGCGUCGUGUGUUUCUUGCCGGAGGUAGAGCACUGGAUAGGCGAUGGGCCCUACCGGGUUACUGACCUUAGCCAAACUCCGAAUGCCGGUAAGUGAGAGCGCGGCAGUGAGACUGUGGGGGAUAAGCUCCAUGGUCGAGAGGGAAACAGCCCAGAGCAUCGACUAAGGCCCCUAAGCGUGUGCUAAGUGGGAAAGGAUGUGGAGUCGCAGAGACAACCAGGAGGUUGGCUUAGAAGCAGCCACCCUUGAAAGAGUGCGUAAUAGCUCACUGGUCAAGUGAUUCCGCGCCGACAAUGUAGCGGGGCUCAAGUACACCGCCGAAGUCGUGUCAUUGCGAUAUUACUCCUAACGGGGAUCGUGAUGGGUAGGGGAGCGUCGUGUGCCGGGUGAAGCAGCCGUGGAAACGAGUUGUGGACGGUUCACGAGUGAGAAUGCAGGCAUGAGUAGCGAUACAAGAGUGGGAAACUCUUGCGCCGAUUGACUAAGGGUUCCUGGGUCAAGCUGAUCUGCCCAGGGUAAGUCGGGACCUAAGGCGAGGCCGACAGGCGUAGUCGAUGGACAACCGGUUGAUAUUCCGGUACCCGCUUUGAAGCGCCCAAUACUGAAUCAGGCGAUGCUAAGUCCGUGAAGCCGCCCUGGAGCCUUCGGGUGAAGGGGAGUGGUGGAGCCGACGGACCAGACUUGUAGUAGGUAAGCGAUGGGGUGACGCAGGAAGGUAGUCCAGCCCGGGCGGUGGUUGUCCCGGGGUAAGGGUGUAGGCCGUGUGGUAGGUAAAUCCGUCGCACGUUAAGGCUGAGACCUGAUGCCGAGCCGAUUGUGGUGAAGUGGAUGAUCCUAUGCUGUCGAGAAAAGCCUCUAGUGAGUUUCAAGGCGGCCCGUACCCUAAACCGACUCAGGUGGUCAGGUAGAGAAUACCGAGGCGUUCGGGUGAACUAUGGUUAAGGAACUCGGCAAAAUGCCCCCGUAACUUCGGGAGAAGGGGGGCCAUUUCUGGUGAGGGAACUUGCUUCCUGAGCUGGGGGUGGCCGCAGAGACCAGCGAGAAGCGACUGUUUACUAAAAACACAGGUCCGUGCGAAGCCGUAAGGCGAUGUAUACGGACUGACGCCUGCCCGGUGCUGGAACGUUAAGGGGACCGGUUAGCUUGGAUUCGUUCAGGCGAAGCUGAGAACUUAAGCGCCAGUAAACGGCGGUGGUAACUAUAACCAUCCUAAGGUAGCGAAAUUCCUUGUCGGGUAAGUUCCGACCUGCACGAAUGGCGUAACGACUUCUCGACUGUCUCAACCAUAGGCCCGGUGAAAUUGCAUUACGAGUAAAGAUGCUCGUUUCGCGCAGCAGGACGGAAAGACCCCGGGACCUUUACUAUAGCUUGAUAUUGGUGUUCGGUUCGGCUUGUGUAGGAUAGGUGGGAGACUGUGAAGCGCCAACGCCAGUUGGUGUGGAGUCGUUGUUGAAAUACCACUCUGGUCGUGCUGGAUGUCUAACCUGGGUCCGUGAUCCGGAUCAGGGACAGUGUCUGGUGGGUAGUUUAACUGGGGCGGUUGCCUCCUAAAGAGUAACGGAGGCGCCCAAAGGUUCCCUCAGCCUGGUUGGUAAUCAGGUGUUGAGUGUAAGUGCACAAGGGAGCUUGACUGUGAGACUGACGGGUCGAGCAGGUACGAAAGUAGGGACUAGUGAUCCGGCGGUGGCUUGUGGAAGCGCCGUCGCUCAACGGAUAAAAGGUACCCCGGGGAUAACAGGCUGAUCUUCCCCAAGAGUCCAUAUCGACGGGAUGGUUUGGCACCUCGAUGUCGGCUCGUCGCAUCCUGGGGCUGGAGUCGGUCCCAAGGGUUGGGCUGUUCGCCCAUUAAAGCGGUACGCGAGCUGGGUUUAGAACGUCGUGAGACAGUUCGGUCCCUAUCCGCUGUGCGCGUAGGAGUCUUGAGAAGGGCUGUCCCUAGUACGAGAGGACCGGGACGGACGAACCUCUGGUGUGCCAGUUGUUCUGCCAAGGGCAUGGCUGGUUGGCUACGUUCGGAAAGGAUAACCGCUGAAAGCAUCUAAGCGGGAAGCCUGCUUCGAGAUGAGGGCUCCCUCCUCCUUGAGAGGGUAAGGCUCCCAGUAGACGACUGGGUUGAUAGGCCAGAUAUGGAAGCACUGUAAGGUGUGGAGUUGACUGGUACUAAUAGGCCGAGGGCUUGUCCU
rnacentral:rRNA from 1 species